UAGCCACUUCCUCCUUUCCCACUAAGCUUAAUGGAGUCUGGACCUUACCAAGAUGGUGUCAACCCCUCCCAACUUUCUGAUGUAUGAACUUUGAAAAUCUUCCCUCCUAUUACAAACUUCAGAGACAGUCUUUGGUAUACUAAAUGGCUAAUUUAUUUCUUGGGAAAGAAAGAUAAAAGGGGAAAAGGUAGGACAGAGGGACUGGGGAGACCCUACCCCUAUCUUUUCUAUAGCUAUAUUUGAUGGGAGAUCAAACUGUCUUUCAAGGGUUAAAUGGUGAUUCAGGAUGAUCUUCAAUAACAAAGCAGAAACACUUUUCUUCAGCAACAGCCAGAAGACUCACACUCUUGAUCAGACUCAUCCUAAUGAAAUCAGCGACAAUGGUAACAGUUUUCCCCACUAACCAUCACAGUCAUUACCUAUUCUAACAGAAUGCAAUGCAGCUUGAAAGAAUUGCUAAAAAAUAAAUGAGAGAAUGAAGUUCAAUUAAAUGAUGAGACUAUUGAAGUCUGAGGCCACUUUGAAAGACUUCAGAACUCUAAAAAUGCAAUAGCCAAUGAUGACUCCAAAGCAUCAAAGAUGAAGACAAAAUCCCCAUUCCAACAGAAAGGUUAAAGAUAUAAAAUUCCAAAUGUAUCUUACAUUUUGGGACAUGACCAACAUAAAGCUUUUUGCUCAUA